AAGUCGUAACAAGGUUUCCGUAGGUGAACCUGCGGAAGGAUCAUUAACACGUUAUCCACGUUUAUACAAUCUUAUCAACAACACCACGAACUGUGCUCCCUGUCGGCCCACUUCACUACGUACACUUUCCGGUUAUGGGUGGUUCAUGGCUGCUUGCUUGCGCAGGCGAAGUGAACACAUCGGAGAGAAGGUUUCUGGCCAGCUUGCUAGGUCGGGGUAGAUGAGACAUAUGUCGGCAGGCUUAUUGAUCCCAAGCUCGUAUGCGCAAGCAUUUCCCAACCCCCUUGGGCAGCGGAUGAUCACCAUACCCUAUUCACAAUUUUCAUACCAGUUGACUAAUUACUAUAUUCUUCGGGAGAAAUCCUGUCGAAUUACUAAGAUUUUAUCUUAACUAAGCACAACUCUUAGCAAUGGAUAUCUUGGUUCUC
rnacentral:misc_RNA from 1 species